rnacentral:rRNA from 1 species
UACGUAGGGCGCAAGCGUUGUCCGGAAUUAUUGGGCGUAAAGAGCUCGUAGGCGGCCAGUUGCGUCCGCUGUGAAAUCCCAGGGCUUAACCCUGGGCGUGCAGUGGAUACGGGCUGGCUGGAGGCAGGCAGGGGAGAACGGAAUUCCCGGUGGUAGCGGUGAAAUGCGCAGAUAUCGGGAGGAACACCGGUGGCGAAGGCGGUUCUCUGGGCCUGCACUGACGCUCAUGCACGAAAGCGUGGGGAGCAAGCAGG